rnacentral:rRNA from 1 species
UCCUAAGUGAUUAGAGUUUGAUCAUGGCUCAGAUUGAACGCUGGCGGCAUGCUUUACACAUGCAAGUCGAACGGCAGCGGUCCCAUUUGGGAGCCGGCGAGUGGCGAACGGGUGAGUAAUGCCUCGGAACGUACCUAGUACUGGGGGAUAACCCAGCGAAAGCUGGGCUAAUACCGCAUACGCCCUGAGGGGGAAAGCGGGGGACCUGAGAGGGCCUCGCGGUAUUCGAGCGGCCGAUGUCCGAUUAGCUAGUUGGUGGGGUAAAGGCCUACCAAGGCGAUGAUCGGUAGCGGGUCUGAGAGGAUGGUCCGCCACACUGGGACUGAGACACGGCCCAGACUCCUACGGGAGGCAGCAGUGGGGAAUCUUGGACAAUGGGGGAAACCCUGAUCCAGCGAUGCCGCGUGCAGGAAGAAGGCCUUCGGGUUGUAAACUGCUUUCGGCCGGGACGAAAUUGCCUAGGCGAACAGUCUAGGUGGAUGACGGUACCGGAAGAAGAAGCACCGGCUAACUACGUGCCAGCAGCCGCGGUAAUACGUAGGGUGCGAGCGUUAAUCGGAAUUACUGGGCGUAAAGCGUGCGCAGGCGGAUGCUUAANCCAGACGUGAAAUCCCUGGGCUUAACCUAGGAAUUGGCGGUUUC